CAGUGUUCACUUUACUUAAAACCUGUAAUAACAAAUUCAAGAACAAUGCUUUCCAUCCCUUCUUUUUACAUUUAUUGAUAUAUGCAUAUAUAUCUACAACCCCAUUUGCUUCUUUUUCACUUACAGAGUUUUUUUUUUGCGUUUUUAUAAUUAAUUAAAAAUGGCUGCUUUAUCCACUACUUGGCUCUAUCAAGAUAGAGGGUUGGGAAGUAUGGUCUCUACAGGACAUGUUAUGAGGGGCAAAUUUCCUGUUCAACUUUUGCAGGGGAAUGCUAGGAGAUGUUGUAGCGGUUCGUUUCCUGUGAGGCAGUGUAAAGUUGGUGUCAAUUAUUUUCCGAAACGGUCGCCUUUACGUACUUGUAUAAAGUGUCAAAAGGGUGAUAAGGACGAGGAUGAUGACGCUCUUGACCAUGUGCUUGUUGACCAACCGCCAUAUCAUAGUUAUAUGGACUCAACAUCUGGUCAGAUGGAACCAGCUUCUGGUGCUCGUGCAAGUAUUCCAGGGAGAGAUUAUUGGCCUGAAGGCACUGCUGAUCGAGUUAGGGCAGCGAAUGCUCCUGCACCCACUGGGGAGUCAGCGGCACCUCCUUCAUUUGGAAAAACUCCCGGUAGUCGGAGGAAAAAGAACAAGGCAGCUGUUGCCGCUUCUGAGACUUCAGAAAUGAGUGAUAUUUUUGACGAUGCUGUGGAAGCUGAACUAGUAAACGAGGGUUUGGAAGACUCCAAAGAUCUUCCCUCUGAGUUCGUUGUUUAUCAGACAGAACCUCAGGAAGAAGAGUUAACCGGCUAUGCACUGGACAAGAAACUUGGAGUCCCUCACCCCUUUAUAGAUCCAGAAGUGAAGAAGCCAAUAGAGCAGCCACUUACAAGCGAAGAACUAUGGUGGAAUUGGAGAAAGCCGGAAAAGGAGCAGUGGUCCAGGUGGCAAAGGAGGCGCCCUGAUGUUGAAACGGUAUUUCUUAAAGCUAUGGCAGAAACUGGGCAAGUAAAGCUUUACGGGGACCAUCCAACAUUGACCGAGACCUCCCUUUACAGAGCUAGGCGGCAUCUAUACAAAGACGAAAGGUUGCAGGCUGAGAGUGAAAGACUGAAAGAAGUUGGUCCAUUAGCUUACUAUUCUGAAUGGGUUAAAGCAUGGAAGAGAGACACUUCACGUGAAGCAGUUCAGAAACAUUUUGAAGACACUGGUGAAGAUGAGAAUACCCAACUCAUUGAAAUGUUCACAUAUCAAACUGAUAGAGAAUACCGUAUUAUGAUGGGAACUGAUACCCGUAUCCGUAGGGAUCCUUUGGCAAUGCGAAUGCGCGAGGAUCAGAUCAAAGAAAUAUGGGGUGGAGAUCCAGUUUACCCAACAAUUAAUUACAUCCAAGACCCGGACGAAGUGAUUGAUUUCAGAGGUCCAGAUUUCCAUGAGCCUACGCCCAAUAUGCUGUCUUAUCUUAAAGAGCGUGGCAAAAUCAUUUCAAGGGAGGAGCUUGACAACAUCCUUGCUCAAGAGAAAACUGAGCAAAUAGAGACAACAGAUAUUGAUGAAGCUAUGGCACAAGCAGUUGAUAUCGGGGAAAAUGACGAUGAAGGAGAAGGCAGUGACGCUGAGAGUAGUGAAGAGGGCGAGAAAAUUACACGCAAUUGGAGUGUCCUAAAAAGCACUCCUGAACUUCGUAAGACAAAGGAAAAACCGAAGAAGAAUGGCAUGUCUCUUGACGAAGCUAUAGAUGAUUCGGAGAACAUAACUGACUUUAUUUUGGAUUUUGACGAGGAUGAGUAAUGUCUAUCAGAUGCUAAAAUACUGAGCUGGGUAUAUUGAUUUGUGGUGUUAUGCUUCUGAAGAGCUGUCCUUACUCGACAUAAAAGUUUACAACAUUACAGCCAAGGCCCUAUAGGAAGCUCAACAAUCAGGAAUGAUGAACCAAUUAGACUCUUUUCAGUAAAGAUCUAAAUUAAGAUGCAGACUUUUUAGGCACAAGUUUCAAAAUAAUAUUCAAUGCCUUGGGACAGCUUCAAUUAACAAGGCCUUGCUAAGAUUGCAGGAUGAAGAUUACGUAUUAAUUCUAACUGCAAUAUUCUCUGGGCUUCCCGCUGGAAACUUCAUCUUGUGCAAAGAGUUCUCUUUGUUAACAAGAUGGCAAGAAUAUGGAGGCUUUGUCCAUGGGUCGGAAGGAAUGAGCUGUAGCUACUAAUGAAAUUCAAGGUCAUCAGCUGAAACAUUUGGCAUCUCAGAAUUCUGAACUCGAAGAAUUGAAGCUCUCCGUGUUCUAGCUAAAUCCAUGAUGGUCUUUGAAGUAAAAUAUUCUUUUCGAGGACAUCAUUGCAAGAUCUUUCUUUUGUACAAGAUGCUUACUUUUACAGAAAGAUCGAAUUAGAAUGAUUGUUUAGACCAAAUUAUUUUUUUGAUGAUGGCAGAGAGCUGUACUUUGAGAGAACUAGAAGUUAAAUUGUGUAGGCCUUGUUUAUGUUCA